ACUCGACAUAUAAUCCAUCCAAUUCUACAAAUCCAAAUACUGCUUCAGCAAUGGCUUCUUCUCUUGCUUGUCUUCUCUUCUUCUUGUUUUUGCUGCCAUGUUUAUUUCUUGCUCAAAAAACAGGUAUGAUAGGGGUGGGAGACUCCCUCAUUGCGGGUGAUAAUGGAGCACAAUCAUGGCUUUCUCCUUCAGGGGAUUUUGCUUUUGGGUUUCGCCAGCUUGAGAAAAGAGAUCUUUACUUGCUUGCUAUAUGGUAUAACAAAAUUCCUGACAAAACCAUUGUCUGGUUUGCCAAUGGGGAUGACCCUGCACCAGCGGGAUCCCAGGUAAAGCUAAUUGCUCAUCGUGGGCUAGUUCUUACUAGCCCUCAAGGCACAGAGAUUGGGAAAUCUGGUAUGUUGUGGGGUGCUGCCUACGGUUUCAUGAACGAUACAGGCAACUUCAUAAUAUCAAGUUCAGGCUCUGAAAUUUUAUGGCAGAGCUUCGAUCAUCCUACUGAUACAUUGUUGCCUGGACAGGCACUGGAGAGAUUGUCCCCUGAACUGACGCUGGGGUGGGGUGGCCAAAUGCUCUCUUCUAGACUAACGGAGACCAAUUUCUCCCGUGGAAGGUUUCAGUUUCGUUUGAUUAUAGAUGGAAAUGCUGUGCUUAAUACAAACAAUUUGCCUACUGGUUUUCCAUAUGAUGCCUAUUUCUGGAGCGACACUGUAGAUUCUAACUUAUCAAAUGCUGGGUUGCGAGUGGUAUUCAAUGAGUCAGGUUACUUGUACGUGUUGCGAGCAAACGGUACACGACAGCUCCUCACUCGAGGAAAAGUUGUCCCGGCUGCAGAAAAUUAUCACAGAGUAACUCUCAAUUUUGAUGGGGUUUUGGUCCAGUAUUGGCACCCCAAGAGUUCCACUGGAAAUGGAGGUAAUUGGUCUAUUAUUCGUUCCAUGCCAGAUAAUAUCUGUACUGAUAUAGUUGGAGGACAAGGAACUGGGCCUUGUGGCUUUAAUGGUGUCUGCCAACUUGACAUAGAUGAGCGGCCAAUCUGUAGCUGCCCACAAAGAUUUUCUCUACUUGAUCCAAAUGAUUCUCAUGGAGGCUGCAGACCUGACUUUUAUACUCAAUCUUGUGAAGAAGAUGUGUCUAAUUCCCCAGAAGAUUUUGAUUUCUUGGAGCUGGAGAAUACCGAUUGGCCAACAUCUGAUUAUGAGAGGUACUUACCUUAUAAUAUGGAAGAAUGCAAGAAAGCAUGUAGCGAAGAUUGCUUCUGCAGUGUAAUUGUGUUUAGAGAAGGAAACUGCUGGAAGAAGAAGCUGCCACUGUCAAAUGGUAGGCAAGAUGCAGAAGUUAAUGGAAAGGCAUUUAUAAAAGUAAGAAAAGAUAAUUAUACACGAAGACGACCUCUUCCAGGACCUCCUCCGUUCCCCUACGGAAACAAGAACAAGGAUAGUUUGGCCCUUGUGUUGUAUGUGCUCUUAGGAGGCUCUGUGCUCGUCAACUUGGUAUUGAGUUUUUGUUCUUUCUUCUUUUACCACAACAAAUCCAAAAGGAUCCCUCAAAGUAUAGAAAGAACUGCAGAAUCCAAUUUGCGGUGCUUUAGCUACGAGGAGCUCUUUAUUGCGACAGAUGGCUUCAAAGAAGUGGUAGGAAGGGGGUCUUUCGGCAUAGUUUAUAAAGGGGUAGUAGAAAUGGGUACUAAAGUUCCAGUUGCUGUCAAGAAAUUGGACAAAAUAGUUGAAGAAGGUGAGAAAGAAUUCAGGACUGAAGUUAAAGUGAUUGGCCAAACCCACCACAAGAAUCUAGUCCAGCUUGUAGGAUUUUGUGAUGAGGGACAACAUCGAUUGUUGGUAUACGAGUUCUUGAGAAAUGGAACACUGGCAAACUUCCUUUUUAAAGAGGCAAAACUCAAUUGGAACCAGAGAACCCAGAUAGCAUUUGGAAUUGCCAGAGGACUUGCAUACCUACACGAAGACUGUAGCACUCAAAUCAUCCAUUGCGAUAUAAAGCCUCAAAAUAUUCUGCUAGAUGACCAUUAUGAUGCCAAGAUUGCCGAUUUCGGAUUGGCAAAGCUUUUGCUGCUGGACCAGAGCCAAACGUUUACUGCUAUUAGAGGAACCAAAGGGUAUGUUGCACCAGAAUGGUUCAGGAACAUGCCAGUCACAGUAAAGGCCGAUGUGUACAGCUUCGGAGUCUUAUUGUUGGAGAUAAUUUGUGGUAGGAAAUGUGUGGAUACAGAAGUGAGUUCAGAGAGAGCAAUUCUAAUUGAUUGGGCUUACGAUUGCUACCAAGAAGGAAUAAUAAGUGCUCUGGUUGAAAACGAUGAGGAAGCCAUGAAUGAUAUGAAGCUUGAGAGGUUUGUGAAGGUUGCUAUUUGGUGCAUUCAGGAAGAUCCUGCUCUAAGACCAACCAUGAAAAUGGCAAUCCUGAUGCUUGAAGAUUUUGUUCAAGUUGCUGCUCCGCCGUGUCCAUGCCCAUUUACCACUGUAGUUGGUUGAAAAACCAGCUCUGCUAGCUAACCGGCUCUCUGCAAAUCUAAGUUUUUUGCAUAUUGUAAUUUAAUUGCCUUUACAUCCUUGAUUCCUUACUAGUUUAUUUUAGUUUAAGAAAUUUUUGCAUAGAUCAUAAAGUUUGCCAUGUUGCUGAUGGGAAUAUAUAUAUACGAGUCAAUUUGUAAUAUGGAAUUAUAUUAGAAAGUUUUUAUGUAAUUAUCAUAUUAAAAUUCUACAGAAAUUUAGCAAUACUGAUUUUAUUUCAAGCAAAAUUAAAUGUAAGUGAUUUGUUUAUAAAAAUUGAAGUUUAGUGACUAUUAA
rnacentral:misc_RNA from 1 species